rnacentral:rRNA from 1 species
AAUGAACGCUGGCGGUAGGCCUAACACAUGCAAGUCGAACGGCAGCACAGUAAGAGCUUGCUCUUACGGGUGGCGAGUGGCGGACGGGUGAGGAAUACAUCGGAAUCUACUUUUUCGUGGGGGAUAACGUAGGGAAACUUACGCUAAUACCGCAUACGACCUACGGGUGAAAGCAGGGGAUCUUCGUACCUUGCGCGAUUGAAUGAGCCGAUGUCGGAGUAGCUAGUUGGCGGGGUAAAGGCCCACCAAGGCGACGAUCCGUAGCGGGUCUGAGAGGAUGAUCAGCCACACUGGAACUGAGACACGGUCCAGACUCCUACGGGAGGCAGCAGUGGGGAAUAUGGGACAAUGGGCGCAAGCGUGAUCCAGCCAUACCGCGUGGGUGAAGAAGGCCUUCGGGUUGUAAAGCCCUUUUGUUGGGAAAGAAAAGCAGCAGGUUAAUACGCCGCUGUUCUGACGGUACCCAAAGAAUAAGCACCGGCUAACUUCGUG